GCCGCGGUGGCGGAAUUGGCAGACGCGUACGGUUCAGAGCCGUAUAUCCGCAAGGAUGUGUGGGUUCAACUCCCGCCCGCGGCA
rnacentral:tRNA from 1 species